rnacentral:rRNA from 1 species
ACUGAUGGCGACCGGCGCACGGGUGAGUAACACGUAUCCAACCUGCCUCAUACUCGGGGAUAGCCUUUCGAAAGAAAGAUUAAUAUCCAUAGCAUAUAUUUCCCGCAUGGGUUUUAUAUUAAAGAAAUUCGGUAUGAGAUGGGGAUGCGUUCCAUUAGUUUGUUGGGGGGGUAACGGCCCACCAAGACUACGAUGGAUAGGGGUUCUGAGAGGAAGGUCCCCCACAUUGGAACUGAGACACGGUCCAA